rnacentral:lncRNA from 1 species
CCCCCAGCCCCCCCAGUGCUGCACUGGCCAUGGGGGCACUGCUGGGGGUGGGACCCCCGGGACCCCCCGGGACCGCCCGGGACCGCCCGGGACCCCCCAGGACACACCAGGACCCCCGGGGAGCCCUCAGGACCCCCCGGGACCCCUGGGACACCCCGGGACAACCCGGGACACUGCUGGGGGUGGGACCCCCAUGUACUGCUGGGGCACGGAGACCCCCACCCAGGCACCCCGGGGUGCCCCCGCCUCUGCGGGGCUGGGCUGCUCGGCUGAGCCGCUGGGUGCCCGGUGCCGGUACCGGUGUGUGCCGGUGUCGGUGCCGGGGCCGGUGGCUGGGGAUGAUGUGGAUGUGCCGGUGUGUGCGGGUGUUGCUGCUGGUACCGGUGUGUGCGGAUGCCGGUGCCGGCGGCUGCGGAUGGGUGUGGAUGUUGCCGGUGCCGGUACCGCUGUGAGAGUAUCGGUGCCGGCACCGGGGCAGGUGCGAGUGAUGUUGGGAGCGAGUCCCGGCGCCGGUGGGGUCCCGGUGCCAGUGGGGUCCCGGUCCCGGUGUGUGAGAGUGCCGGUGGCGGUGCCGGUGUCAGUGUGUGUAUGGGUGCCGGUGGCGGUGUCAGUGUGUGCGGGUGCCGGUGCCGCUGCCGGCGCCGGUGGCGGUGCCGGUGUCAGUGUGUGCGGGUGCCGGUGUCGGUGUGUGCCGGUGCCGGUGGUGGUGUCAGUGCGUGUGGGUGCCGGUGUCAGUGUGUGCGGGUGCCGGUGCCGGUCCUGCUGCCGGUGGCGGUGUGUGCCAGUGCCGGUGGUGGUGUCAGUGUGUGCGGGUGCCGGUGCCGGUGUCAGUGUGUGCGGGUGCCGGUGGCGGUGUCAGUGUGUGCGGGUGCCGGUGGCGGUGUCGGUGUGUGCCGGUGCCGGUGCCGGUCCUGCUGCCGGUGCUGGUGCCGGUGUCGGUGUGUGCCGGUGCCGGUCCUGCUGCCGGUGCCGGUGCCGGUGUCAGUGUCAGUGUGUGCGGGUGCCGGUGUCGGUGUCAGUGUGUGCGGGUGCCGGUGUCGGUGUGUGCCGGUGCCGGUGCCGGUCCUGCUGCCGGUGCCGGUGCCGGUGUCGGUGUCAGUGUGUGCGGGUGCCGGUGGCGGUGUCAGUGUGUGCGGGUGCCGGUGGCGGUGUCAG